rnacentral:tRNA from 1 species
UCCCUGGUGGCUCAGAUGGUAAAGCGUCUGCCUACAAUGUGGGAGACCUGGGUUCAAUCCCCGGGUUGGGAA